UAACAAUAUAAUUACUACUGGAGAGAUUUGAUCGAAGAUGAGCUCAAAUUUGCAAUCGAGUCCUGUAUCAUCGCAGCUCUUCACCUCAAUUGAUAUGGGUACAAACUCUUUUAAGCUUCUUAUAGUCCGCGCCGAUCCUUCUGGGAGAUCUUUUGUUCCAAUCGAGAGACUCAAAGAGCCGGUGGUUUUGUCUCGUGAAUCUCCGACUUCGAUUUCGUCUCAGUCUCAGGAUCGGGCGCUUCAAUCUCUACGGAAAUUCAAAAGUUUGAUCCUCUCGCAUAAUGUCUCCUGUGACCGGAUCCGAUGCGUCGCAACGGAAGCUUUGCGGCGAGCAGAGAAUCAGAAACAGUUCGUGGAGGCGGUGUUCGAGGAUGUUGGGUUAAAGGUGGAUGUGCUUUCUGGGGAAGAGGAAGCGAGGUUAGUUUACUUAGGCGUGCUUCAGUUUCUACCUGUGUUUGAGAAAUCAGUCUUGUGUAUCGAUAUUGGAGGUGGGUCUACUGAAUUUGUUGUGGGUAAGUGUGGUGAUGUGAAGCUUGCUGUUUCGUUGAAGCUAGGUCAUGUGAAUUUGACGCAGAUGUUUUUGAAAAAUGGUGUUGGAUUGGAGAAAAUGCGUGACUAUAUACGUCAUGCGAUUGAUGAGUCUGGUUUAGCAGAUAAAUUGAAAGAUUCUGAUGGUUUUGAGGUGGUUGUGGGUUCUUCAGGAACUAUUCGAGCUAUUGAGAAUGCAGUUUUUAGUAGCUAUGGAGCUGAUAUGUGUGAAUUCAAUCUGGAGGGGUACAAGAGGGAUUGGAGAUUUGGUAGAGGAGAGCUGAGCAGCGUUGUAACAAAGCUAUGCAGGGAAGGAGAUGAAGAGCAGAUCCGGAGAGAUGGUUUUUUCAAGAGAAGAUCAGAGUUCAUUGUUGCUGGAGCGGUAUUGUUGGAGGAAAUAUUCAAGGCUCUUGGUAUCGAGGAAAUGGAGGUCUCAGAGUAUGCAUUGGCAGAAGGUGUGAUUGCUGAUUCGUUGGCCAAAGCUUUUGAUGGAUUAUAUGAUUUGAAUGCUAAUGCAAGGUGGCGAUCAGUCAUGAGGCUUGCCACUCGAUUCAAUGCUAAAAAGCGAAUGAAUCAUGCAAUACACUGUGCCAGCAUCGCCAAGGCGAUUUUUGUAGGUUUGAGGAAAUGCAAUGAUUUUGACUUUAUCUUAGACGAUAAGGAUCUUGAGUAUCUUGAAGCUGCUUGUUUCUUGCACAAUAUCGGAAUCAUCACAGGGAAAAAGGGAUAUCAUAAGCAGUCUUAUCAUAUCAUCAAGAAUGGGGAUCAUCUCCGUAGCUACGCUGCUGAGGAAGUUGAGCUUAUAGCAAUGCUUAUGAGAUACCAAAGAAAAAAGUUUCCCAAGCUUGACCGUGCACCUCUUAAGAACUUCCCUGAGGAGGUAAAGAAAAAAUUCAUAAUUUUGUGUUUGAUUACACGAUUAUCUGUUAUACUUCAAAGAAGUGAGAAUAUGGAUCUCAAAGAAGUUGAAUUUCUUGAAUCGUCCGAGAGCUUCAAACUCGUACUGAAAGAACAACACCAGGGACACAUACAAGUUAGUUGUCAAGAUCAAGUAAAGAAAAACUCUGAUGCAUCACAACUGGAGAAAGAAGUUGAGCAUUUUAAAAGGCUAUACAAAAAAGAAAUGGUGGUUGUUUUUCCUUCCUGAAAUCCAAUCAGACGGGUUGCUAAGCCUACAAGUCAUUAUUAAACUGAAGCUCUCACAGUUCUUGGAUUUUGCUGGAGUUUACCGUUGUCUGAAUCCUGAAGUUGAAAACGUCAGUUAUGUUGCAGUGUUAAACUCGAAAUUGAUGGUGAAACUAUAAUUGUCUCUUUCUUAUAGCUGAGAAAUAAUGAAUAUCCGGAAGAACACAAAGAGACUGCAUUGUGACUGUCUUAGACUUCGUAAAUUACUAAAUUUUCUGUUCGUUUCAUUCUUUCCAACAAUGCGACUGUGGUUCUCUGGGCAUUUCCCGAAUGAUGUAUGUAACGAUCUUGAACUUGUUUUCUAUUGUAUUAUAGUUUUACACA